rnacentral:lncRNA from 1 species
UGCAUUUUUACCUAGGUGGAGAAAUGAGCUAGAAUCUAAAUAGUAGAUGUCUAAGCAUCGUGAUGUGAAGAAUCUAGAGCCUGACUGAUUCAGUCACCACUGAAGCUCCACCAGUGCUGAGUCACCAUUUCUUACAUAAAUCAGCACAGUGGACAUCCUUUGACUCACCCGGUGGCAUGUCACAGCACAGGACUUGUCCUUAGAACAUGUCUAGGCAACUGGACUGAUAUCUGUUUUGUUUCCUUUUCCUUCUACCCUGAAUGCCAAACUGGAGCAAAACAUGCUGAACAGAUUACUCCAAUAACAACAAGAUGGGUCAGGAACCAUGAACUAUGAACUGUUGCCAACUGUGAGCAUUGAAACCUGCAGGAGUCCAAGUCAUAGGGAGAAUCUAUCAUCCUGGUAUGAAAUGCUAUCAUUGGGUCUCCAACAUGGCAGGGUUAAGAAGAAAUUUCCUCCCAUCUCCCAUGGAGACGACAACCCAGAGCCUGACCAGUGUCUGGAGUGAGGGUCCUGCCUGCGUUCCUGGGAAUCUGAACCUGUGUUUGAGGCAGUAAGAUCUUUCUGUACCUGAGCACUGACACAUGAUCAACGCCAAUGUUAGUGACUGCAGAAGAAGACAUUUCAUGCUAAUCAUCUUCCAUCAAAUGCGGGCGACCAGGUCAUUUGGUACUCAUUGCUCUGAAAAUGUUCAUCAAACAUUGUAAUUUGUUUUCAUGUAACCAACAUCAGCUCAGGUCAAACUUAGACCUUUUUCUAAACCUUUGGUUGGGAAAUGGUUUCCUGAUUUCUGUGAACUACAACCUGAGGGCUCGUUUAAGCAAAUGGAGUGAUGCAGUUGAGUUUUGGCUAAAGAAUUGUGAAAACUGAAAUGCAUGGAUUCUGUUUCUUAGAAGUCAGGUGGAGUGAGAUAGAAAACCCAGGCUUCCCGUCUUAUUCACAGCUGCUACAUUUUACACUCCAGCCUGCUUCAAAAUGUAGGCUUACAUAAAUCUUCGUUUGGUGCAUUCAAUAGUCUAGGAUCGCUGUUUGGCCAUUAGUGUCUUUUAAAAAUUCAGUUCAUGUGUUUAAAGCCCAGACUCAAGUAUACUUUGCUAAAUUUUAUUUAAAAUUAAGAUUUUAAAACACAAUAUACUCUUAUAUUUCAGCAUUACAUUUCUUCCUCAAGCAGUAAAAAUGUCUGAAUAAAAAUAAAAGAUUAGGUUUAGUGAAGCUGAUUGUGGGUUAAGAGUUCCAUCUAGUGGUCAGUUCAGGAAGUUCAUUUAACUACUAAGUAAAUAUGAUAGAUGUCUUUUUUGCUUCCAUAUUACAAAGUGGUGCAUUUGAUCUUGAACUUACUCAUAAUCUGGUUCUGUAUCUACAUAUAUGACAUAUUAUGGGAUGCGAGGAAGCUAUAUUUGGAAUAUGUUGCUCUCAGCAAAUGGCAUGGGGCCAUCAUGUUGAACACAAACAAGGAAAACAUAAAAGACAGGAGCCCAAGGCUUUCCCUCUUGUACGUAAACUUUUCCUGAGUUUUCUUUUGACAUAAUUAAUUAAUAGUAUCAAACCAAACUCCCACAGAAAUAGCAAACAAAAUAGAACUCCCCCACCCCCUAUGUGUGUAGAGAUGGGCUUGGAUACAGGAAAAUAACUCAUUUAACUAUCCUCUCAGAGUCUCUUUCCUCAUGACCAGUGUUCACAAUGAACGCAAGCAGAAGGGAGGCUUCGUCAACCCCUCAGGAGAGCUCUCUAGUCACUGGCUAGAGGAACUGAUGAUGUAGUUCCAAUCUCACCCAUUUUCUGUUGAGCCUCCAUCCACCAGAGUCUGCUGGAGCUCUUCCAGCAUGGCCAUCAUGGAUUUCCCUUCUCCCUUCUGAGGACCGCUCACCUCUGUGGGUUGCGCCUCAUGUCACUCUCACAGCAUAUCUGUCCUGUUGCCAUGUGAACUUCAUACGGAAAGCUAGAGUCCCAUUAAGUUUUAGGGAAUGUUUCUUUCCAAAUGACCCGGGUUUCCAUUUCCCACGUCACUGUUUCCUGACUUCGGUAAAACAGUUUAUGACAAUAACACAACUCAGGAUUGAGGAGAGCGGUUCGUUAUUCUCUGCGUGUCGAAAUCAAGUGUAAGGCUCGGAGAGAAGAUUUAGGUCUCUUCCUCAAUUGUUCUUUCUUUAGGAAGGACCCAAGAUUACUUCUGGGAGACUCUGUCUUCACAAAAACUGUCCUGAGUGUUGUAAUUUGAGAAAGCAGCAGCCCCAGCAAACCGUGUCUAGGCACCACAUACCAUCCAGCUGCUGCCUGGCCAGCCAUGAGGUCACAUCACACUGCAGUUAGCAGCACACAGGCUGCUGGGUUGGCAGUAUCUCAGGCCUGCUAAUUGGGACAGGUGCAGAGUGUGAUGACAGCCGACCACCCACAGAGUUGUGACACAGCCAGCUAUGGCAAGAGGAACAGAAAGGAAGAAAUAGGAAAACCUGAUCUGCAGGCUAUGUGACGAUGGCUGCCAGUUAAGAAUGAGAGACCCUCUGAGGAUAUGUAAGGGGAAAGAGGGCCAUUUUUGGAAUGGGAUUUCCUUAAUCUUAUUGAGAAUAAAUGGUAGGACCACAGGAAAUAUAUGCUACACACAACCACCAGCCUGCCGAAGUAGAUCAUUUGCAUGUAUGAACAGGCGCGCACACACAGGUGCACACAUGCACACACACAAGCAUGCACACUCCCUUCAGUUACAUUAGUCACAACACAAACAAUGGUUCUUUCUGAGAAGCAGAGCAAUACUGUUUGAGGGAGGACUCCUCUGAUACUGACAUUUCACAUGGCUAGGCAAGAACUAGGGGUAAAUUUAAGGAUCAUUUCAAUGACCACUUAAGAGUUGCUUAGAAGACACUGUGAAAAUAUGAAACAAAUAAAUAAAUAAAUAAAAUCUUGUGUUGAUAAUUAGAUACUCAUUUGCCCUCUUGGGCAAAUGAAGACAUUGUUUUGAUGUCUUUGGAUCCCAGAGUUGUAGGCAAAACUGAUCUAAUAUUUCAAGCACAGACAAGAAGAAUGAGACAAAAUUUCACAAAUUAGACCAGAAAUGGUUGAGAGAUGUUCAAAGUGUCAAUGAAACAAUGUCCUUUUCCUUGUGAGCUAAUUUGUGUCAAAACAUUUAAUGACUGGCUAGACUAGCUAAUCUUGAUGGACAGCUUGAUGGGAUUAAAAAUUGUUAUGGAAACAACCACUGAACGUGUCUGUGAGGGAGUUUCUAGACUGGGUUAACUCAGGUGGGAAGACACACCCUGAACUUAGGCAGUACUUUUCCAUGCGCUCAGAUCACAGAUUGACAGAAAAGGAGAGUCGAGCUCAUCUCUCUUUUCUAAUUAUGGUAGCCCUGUAUUCAUUCCCUUGCUAUGCAGGCCAAGAUAAAUCUUUCAUCUCAUUUAUUUGAAUCUGGUCAGAUGUUUGAUUACAGCAAUAGGAGAAGUCACUACUACACUGAUUCUCAAUUAAAUGCUACAAAUUUAUAUGUGUAACGUGCACUUCUGAUAACUGUCUUUUAUGGUUUAAGUGAAAUUUUAAAAUGAUAGGCAAAUAAGAUGUUGAAAUGAUACACCAAAUAUAAAAAU